rnacentral:rRNA from 1 species
UCGGAUUUACUGGGCGUAAAGCGUGCGUAGGCGGCUUUGUAUGUUAGAGGUGAAAGCCCAGGGCUCAACCCUGGAAUUGCCUUUAAGACUGCAUCGCUUGAACAUCGGAGAGGUAAGUGGAAUUCCGAGUGUAGAGGUGAAAUUCGUAGAUAUUCGGAAGAACACCAGUGGCGAAGGCGACUUACUGGACGAUUGUUGACGCUGAGGUGCGAAAGCGUGGGGAGCAAACAGG